UCAUGGUUGUUUUUGCUAUCAGCAUCAGAAGAACAUGAAAAAGGAGUCUAAUUUUGUGUUUAUUCAUUCACAGAGUUACGUUUUUUUCAGCCUGAGAAACAGUAUUUAGCACUACAUACCAAGAAAAUAAAAUGUCCUAAUUAAUUUUCUGCAUCGCUGAAAUGGAGCUUCAGUCAAACGGGGAAGGCAGACAUCUCAUGUCAAGGAGAGUGAUCCUAGAAGUCAGCCUCCAGCACUGUUUUGGAAGCAAAAGGUCUUCUGUGUCUUUCAGAGCUGGACCCACAAAUCCAUCAUGUGGCUGAAAAAGCUCUCAGUCGCAAAUGUGCUCCCAACAGGAAGACUUGAAGACAGAGUGGUAAGACAAGCCUGCUAAAGGUUCCCUACGCUGGUGCAGGAAUUUCCUGGAAACAAUUUCUUUUCAGUACCCUCGAGGUGGCCUGCUGCAGAACUCAAUCACCGUGCUGGAUUCAAGGAAGUAAAGGAUGACGUCCUCCUGCUUUUUUUCCCCGAGGGAUUUCCUCUGCUUUACCUCCCUGUGAGCCCCAUUGUACACCAUAUACUCAUGCUUAGCCAAAUGAAGCUCACCAAUGUGGUUUCAGGAGGGCGAAAGACAGGCUGUUUAUCUGAAAAACAUCUUCUAAGCAAAAAGACAGAGGAAUUUUGGUUUCUCCAUCCCCAGGGCAAUAAGAAAAAAGAGGUUUUGUACCCAUAAAAUGGUUUUGUUCCCAUAAAACUGAGCAAAAGCUUCGGUCUUGCCUGGACAAGAGAGAAUUCCUACUCCUUGAGUCUCAGUUCCUCCUGGAGUUUCCCUGGCCUGUUCUUCAAGGCCAACUGCAAAAUCCUUCUCCUCGCCUGGCCCAGGAGACUGAGGCUGAACUGAACCUCCCAUUCAGUGCCUCUCUCUCUUUGGAAAUCUCUGCGAUACUUCAGCCAAAGCAGCAUUUGUCUCACUAACGGCGUGCCUGGACCGGAGCCGCAUUAA
rnacentral:lncRNA from 1 species